rnacentral:tRNA from 1 species
GCUCAGGUAGCUCAGUCGGUAGAGCAGAGGAAUGAAAAUCCUCGUGUCGGCGGUUCGAUCCCGUCCCUGAGCACCA